GACGAACGCUGGCGGCGUGCCUAAUACAUGCAAGUUGAGCGAUGAAGAUUGGUGCUUGCACCAAUUUGAAGAGCAGCGAACGGGUGAGUAACGCGUGGGGAAUCUGCCUUUGAUCGGGGGACAACAUUUGGAAACGAAUGCUAAUACCGCAUAACAACUUUAAACAUAAGUUUUAAGUUUGAAAGAUGCAAUUGCAUCACUCAAAGAUGAUCCCGCGUUGUAUUAGCUAGUUGGUGAGGUAAAGGCGCACCAAGGCGAUGAUACAUAGCCGACCUGAGAGGGUGGUCGGCCACAUUGGGACUGAGACACGGCCCAAACUCCUACGGGAGGCAGCCGUAGGGAAUCGUCGGCAAUGGACGAAAGUCUGACCGAGCAACGCCGCGUGAGUGAAGAAGGUUUUCGGAUCGUAAAACUCUGUUGGUAGAGAAGAACGUUGGUGAGAGUGGAAAGCUCAUCAAGUGACGGUAACUACCCAGAAAGGGACGGCUAACUACGUG
rnacentral:rRNA from 1 species